rnacentral:rRNA from 1 species
CCCUUAGAUGUUCUGGGCCGCACGCGUGCUACACUGAGUGGAUCAGCGGGUCAGGUUGCGCGAAAGUGUUUCCUAAUCUUGAAAUCCGCUCGUGAUGGGGAUUGACGGUUGCAAUUUUCCGUCAUGAACGAGGAAUACCUUGUAAGCGCGGGUCAUCAUCCCGCGCUGAAUACGUCCCUGCCCUUUGUACACACCGCCCGUCGCUCCUACCGAUUGAGUGGUCCGGUGAGGCUUUGGGAUCUGAGCGGAAAGAGCGUUUCGCUGUUUCUGCUCGGAAAACUCAGUCGAACCUUAUCAUUUAGAGGAAGGAGAAGCCGUAACA